GAUGAAGAACGUAGCGAAAUGCGAUAAGUAGUGUGAAUUGCAGAAUUCAGUGAAUCAUCGAAUCUUUGAACGCACAUUGCGCCCCUUGGUAUCCCGAGGGGCAUGCCUGUUCGAGCGUCAUUUCACCACUCAAGCCUGGCUUGGUGUUGGGCGACGUCCCCUUUGGGGACGCGCCUCGAAACGCUCGGCGGCGUGGCACCGGCUUUAAGCGUAGCAGAAUCUUUCGCUUUGGAAGUCGGGGCCCCGUCUGCCGGAAGACCUACUCGCAAGGUUGACCUCGGAUCAGGCAGGGAUACCAGCUGAACUUAAGCAUAUCAAUAAGCGGAGGA
rnacentral:misc_RNA from 1 species